CGCUGGCGGCAUGCCUAACACAUGCAAGUCGAACGGGGGUAGCAAUACCCUAGUGGCGAACGGGUGAGUAACACAUAAGCAAUCUGCCCUUCACAGGGGGAUAACAGCGGGAAACUGCUGCUAAUACCGCAUAAGACCACGGUACCGCAUGGUACAGGGGUAAAAACGAAUCAGUGGUGAAGGAUGAGCUUAUGUCCCAUUAGCUAGUUGGUGAGAUAACAGCCCACCAAGGCGACGAUGGGUAGCCGACCUGAGAGGGUGAUCGGCCACACUGGAACUGAGACACGGUCCAGACUCCUACGGGAGGCAGCAGUGGGGAAUAUUGGGCAAUGGAGGAAAAACCUCUUACCCAGCAAUGCCGCGUGAGUGAAGAAGGUCUUCGGAUUGUAAAGCUCUUUGAUUGGGGACGAAGAAAGUGACGGUACCCAAAGAACAAGCCCCGGCUAACUACGUGCCAGCCGCUGC
rnacentral:rRNA from 1 species